GACGAACGCUGGCGGCGUGCUUAACACAUGCAAGUCGAACGAAGUGGCGAACGGGUGAGUAACGCGUAAUCCACCUGCCCUUCAGAGGGGGAUAACAGUUGGAAACGACUGCUAAUACCGCAUACUGAAGGAGGGGAUUGCGUCGGAUGAGCUAGUUGGAGGGGUAACGGCCCACCAAGGCGAUGAUCAGUAGCCGGUCUGGGAGGAGGGACGGCCACAUUGGGACUGGGACACGGCCCAGAGUCCUACGGGAGGCAGCAGUGGGGAAUCGUGCGCAAUGGGCGAAAAUCGUACGGAACAACGCCGCGUGAGGGAUGACGGCCUUCGGGUUGGAAAUGUCUGUUAAUCGGGACGCGGUACCGGAAUAGGAAGCCACGGCUAACUACGUGCCAGCCGCCGCGGUAAUAC
rnacentral:rRNA from 1 species